UUCCAGACUCCUACGGGAGGCAGCAGUGGGGAAUAUUGCACAAUGGGGGAAACCCUGAUGCAGCAACGCCGCGUGAGUGAAGAAGCGUUUCGGCGCGUAAAGCUCUGUCAGCGGGGAAGAAAGAAGACGGUACCCGACCAAGAAGCCCCGGCUAACUACGUGCCAGCAGCCGCGGUAAUACGUAGGGGGCAAGCGUUAUCCGGAUUUACUGGGUGUAAAGGGAGCGUAGACGGCGAUGCAAGUCUGAAGUGAAAGGCGGGGGCCCAACCCCCGGACUGCUUUGGAAGCUGUAUAGCUGGAGUGCAGGAGAGGUAAGUGGAAUUCCUAGUGUAGCGGUGAAAUGCGUAGAUAUUAGGAGGAACACCAGUGGCGAAGGCGGCUUACUGGACUGUAACUGACGUUGAGGCUCGAAAGCGUGGGGAGCAAACAGGAUUAGAUACCCUUGUA
rnacentral:rRNA from 1 species